CCUACGGGUGGCAGCAGUGGGGAAUAUUGGACAAUGGGCGAAAGCCUGAUCCAGCCAUGCCGCGUGUGUGAAGAAGGCCUUCGGGUUGUAAAGCACUUUCAGUGGGGAAGAAAGCCUUGGGGCUAAUACCCUCGAGGAAGGACAUCACCCACAGAAGAAGCACCGGCUAACUCCGUGCCAGCAGCCGCGGCAAUACGGAGGGUGCGAGCGUUAAUCGGAAUUACUGGGCGUAAAGCGCGCGUAGGCGGUCUGAUAAGCCGGUUGUGAAAGCCCCGGGCUCAACCUGGGAACGGCAUCCGGAACUGUCAGGCUAGAGUGCAGGAGAGGAAGGUAGAAUUCCCGGUGUAGCGGUGAAAUGCGUAGAGAUCGGGAGGAAUACCAGUGGCGAAGGCGGCCUUCUGGACUGACACUGACGCUGAGGUGCGAAAGCGUGGGUAGCAAACAGGAUUAGAUACCCGUGUAGUC
rnacentral:rRNA from 1 species